rnacentral:rRNA from 1 species
UACAGAGACUGCAAGCGUUAUUCGGAUUCACUGGGCGUAAAGGGUGCGCAGGCGGUCGGGUGUGUCAGAUGUGAAAUCCCGAGGCUCAACCUCGGAACUGCGUCUGAAACUACUCGACUAGAGUACUGGAGAGGGUAACGGAAUUCACGGUGUAGCAGUGAAAUGCAUAGAUAUCGUGAGGAACACCAGAGGCGAAGGCGGUUACCUGGACAGUUACUGACGCUCAGGCACGAAAGCAUGGGGAGCAAAAGGG